GGUUCGAUGGCGUAGUAGGUUAUCGCAUCUGUCUAACAAAUGAAGAUAAUUAUCCUCUUCACAGAAGGUCCCCGGUUCGAGCCCGGGUCGAAUCA